UGUCUAGGGAGAAGCAAAGAUCUUGAUAAGAAACAGAACCUACCAGGGCUGCUUUGUUUGAUAAACUUCCAGGGGUUCCAGUCUCUGGAAACGUCUGGACCCAAAGGAUAAAGCCAGCUGCUGUAUGAGAGUAACACAAAAUCCUUUUGCUCAGCCAGGGAUCCUGCUAUGCAAACAUGUCUCAUUCCCCGUUUUUAUACUGUGCCUGUUGGGACCCUUGGAAUGUGAGGGGUAAAAGGCUAAUAAAGACCAUGCCAGGCUUACCGAAUCAGAAAGCCAGGUCCUCCUCACUAGGCAUGAUCUUGAAAAACCAAAAUAGUUUCCUGUUUGCUCUAAAACCUCCCAGCACAUCCAAAGGGAUGUUGCCCCACAGAAAAUAUGGAUAUCGACUACGAAGCAGAGAACCACCUGAUGCUUCAGAGGAGUUCAUAGAAAUCUCACCUGGUUAUACCUUGACUCGAAGUAAAGAACAUCUCUCCGUCACGCUAGGGGAGGAAUUUUUUGAAAGAAAAACUGCUGAAGAACCGGCCCCCCACUUUGUUCCCAGAAGCCCAGUGAAACUUGAGACGGAGGAUGUUAUUACUGACUUAGAGGAACAGAUUGCUGAGCUGACAGACAUGAUGGAGCAACUGCGCAGAGAUCACCAGGCCUCCCGCAAACUGUUGGAGAAGGAUAUGGAAGAAAAAUGCAAUGAGAUGCAACAGGAGCAUGAGAAUAAGAUCAGGGAACUCCAAGAAGCUCACUGUGCUGAGCUCCAGGCCUUGCAAGUGCAGUACAAGAAAGAACUGAGGACUGAGAGGGCCUCUGCACAAGAGAAAAUGGAGGGGAUGCAGAAGGAAUACAAGUAUCUGAAGAAUGCAUUCCGAAUGUACCAGGACAGUGUUUCUGAUGAAAUGGAGGAGAAGUGGCUGAGAAGGCAGGCUGACUGGAAGAAGAAUGAGAGGACUGAGCGGGAGAAGGCACUGUUAAAGCAAAAGCAGGAAUUGAUGAAGAAAUUUGAGAUGGAGAGAGAGCAUCUAAAGAAAUCACAUCAGAGUGGUAACUCCAUGAUGAAUAAACUCCCACAGCAGGGAAGAGAGGAGUUUAUUAAACAGCACCAGGAAGAUGUGGAGAAAAUAAAAGAAUUGCAAAACAUCAAGGAGUCUCUGGAAGCCGAUUUGAAGGAGAAGGACCAGAUUCUCAAGGCUCUCACCACAACGAUGCAGAACGCUCAGGUGGAGCUUAAGAAAGAGAAAAGCAACCUGCUGGAGCUGGAGAAGAACAUUCAACAGAAAAUCUCGGCAGUUGAACUAAAACACCAGCUCAAUAUCACUUCCUUGGCAGAUGAAAAUGCUGUUCUGAGACGCAAACUGAUCACAAAGAGCGAAGAAGCAUUUAACGAAAGAGUCCGGCGAAAGUCAGUACUGCUCUAAUGGGAAUGUGACCUUGUUACUAAGGGAAACUUGCUGAUGAUGGAGAAACUGAUUCACCACCAUGUUCCACCUGAGACUGGUGCCCUGAGCUAAAGGACGGAGACCAGUCCUGGAGCCUGCAGCAACAACAAUGCACCACCUCCACAGGAUUCCCAUGGGGCACUAACUAACGAUUGCUGAACUACGUAUUGGAAUCACUACGACUACUCCUCAAGAGCAGCUGCCUCUGGAAGGAAAACAGGCAAAGGGGUCUCAACAGCAAAAAGUGCAGUGGAACGUAGGCAGGCAGAGCAACAGUGCCACACAGGAAUCGGCUCAUGCCUGAGCAUUCAUCUGACUCAGCAGAAGCAACCGAGACCUCAGUUCCAUCUCUCAUCAAAAGAUGAUUCCUCCAGCAGAGCAGAGCCCCUAUCUCCAUAUUGGAUCUGACGUGACUUUUGUGUAUUUUUCUUUGUAAUGAGAGAAAAUGAAGUGUUCAAUCCACUACCCCUUCCG